rnacentral:rRNA from 1 species
UACAGAGGUCUCAAGCGUUGUUCGGAUUCAUUGGGCGUAAAGAGCGUGUAGGCGGCCCGGUAAGUCUGUUGUGAAAGUCCAGGGCUCAACCCUGGAAAGCCGAUGGAUACUGCCGGGCUAGAGUUCGGAAGAGGCGAGUGGAAUUCCUGGUGUAGCGGUGGAAUGCGCAGAUAUCAGGAGGAACACCUAUAGCGAAGGCAGCUCGCUGGGACGACACUGACGCUGAGACGCGAAAGCGUGGGGAGCGAACAGG